rnacentral:lncRNA from 1 species
CUGACGGCAGCGCUUCGAGAGGGGCACGGACGCGGGUUCGGAGGGCUGGCCGGGCUCGUUGCCGUGAUGAGGUUGACGACGAAAGAAAAAUCGUGUGGUCGUUGCGUAGAAUUAUUUCUUCCCACAAAAAUAGAAAUUGAUAUUUCUUUCCUCGAAAUUUACACAGUCCAGUUCGAAUGAAGGUAAGAGGAACUACACCUUGCAAAAUCCGG